UACGUAGGGGGCAAGCGUUGUCCGGAUUUAUUGGGCGUAAAGAGCGUGUAGGCGGCUAGAUAGGUCCGUUGUGAAAACUCGAGGCUCAACCUCGAGACGCCGGUGGAAACCAUCUAGCUAGAGUCCGGAAGAGGAGAGUGGAAUUCCUGGUGUAGCGGUGAAAUGCGCAGAUAUCAGGAAGAACACCCGUGGCGAAGGCGGGUCUCUGGGACGGUACUGACGCUGAGACGCGAAAGCGUGGGGAGCGAACAGG
rnacentral:rRNA from 1 species